rnacentral:rRNA from 1 species
AACGACUCUCGGCAACGGAUAUCUCGGCUCUCGCAUCGAUGAAGGAACGUAGCGAAAUGCGAUACUUGGUGUGAAUUGCAGAAUCCCGCGAACCAUCGAGUCUUUGAACGCAAGUUGCGCCCAAAGCCUUUCGGCCGAGGGCACGUCUGCCUGGGUGUCACGC